rnacentral:misc_RNA from 1 species
UAUAGUAGACCCAUGAUGGGAAAAGAUAAUAUACCCAAUUUGGGAAGUUCACUUCCUCCUCCAUUACCUGCUGAUCCAGGUUUUGCUCAAAGAGCUGCUAAAUUUUCUUGUUUUGGGAGUCGUAGUUUCAACGGCAGAACGAGUCCGUUGGGGUUGAACUAUACGGAAUUAUCACAUAGAUCUGCUCAAACAUUGGGGAACGGAAAGUUGCCUAGAGUUUCGAGUAGCCCUUCUCUCAAGCAAGGUGGAUCCCCUUUGCAACUCAAGAAUUCGGGUCAAACCCGGAUGGAAAUGAUGUCCAAUAACUCUAACGAGUCUGUUUCAGAGCCAAGUGGGGAAACAGCAUCGAAACUUCCAACUGAAUUGAAUUCUAGUUCUAGAAAAAGAAAAACAGUUUCAAGAGGGAAAACAAAGGAAGAUUCCCCAACUGAAGGAGUUAAUGGAAACAGGGGAAGUGAAGCUGAUGAUAAUGCAAGAGCAAAGCGAUGUAAGCAAGUAGAAAGUAAUGGGAUAGAAAAUGGAAGAGUACACAUGGAAGAAUCAAAGGAUGAUGAAACCCAAAAACAAGUUAUGGAAUAUCAAAAGCCUACUGAACCACCAAAGGACUAUAUUCAUGUUAGAGCAAGGAGAGGACAAGCUACUGAUAGCCAUAGUUUAGCAGAA